UGUAAAAACAUUCAAACAAACACACUCAGCAGAUUUAUUUAUUGUGCAAUGGGGCAAUUAUUCAAAUAAACAUGCUCAAUGCAAUUAUUUGAAUCUCACAUUGCAUGUUCAUCAAUCAUAGCACUAAAAAAAGAGGGGGAAAAAACACCAAAGAGUUCACAUGGGGAAAAAAUAUAUAUAUGAAAACCACCUUAUUAUAGAUUUUAUAGGGCAGCUGAGGUUAUGGCUCCCUUCUUAACUGUAACUCAACUAUUCUGUAUUCAAUGACAUUUGUUUCUAAUGAUUAAUUGGUUCACUCACUUGAUCAUUAUAUCAGAAUGACCGCAACAUUCAAAUUCAUAUAAUAGCAAACUUUAUAAACCUGUAUUGUGUAGAGAUGUGAAAUCUCUAUAUUUCAAGAGCAGAAGAGUUCUUUCUAGACACCUUACAUCAAGGGACACUGGUCCAAUUAUUAUCGCUUAUAUAAGCACUCCUAUAAAUUCUGAAAAAUUUUAUACAUGCAACAAAACAUUCCUACAUUUGAAGACAUUAAGAAAAAUCACAGGUGACUCAUCUGAUCAUUUUAUAUAUUAAUAAAUAUUAUGACAUAUAUGUGAACACAUCACAAAUCAUAUUGGUGUACCAAGAGGCAAUUUAUGCCUCUCUUAAGUAUGUACUGACAUAACCUAAUAUACUAAAAUGGGAAGGGGCUUUUAGUCACUGAAAUAUGCAUCGUGUAACAAAGAUGAAGAAAAUACAUGGCUUGUGCCCAUCAUAAAAAAAGAUUCAGACUGAAGGCUUAGCUUUGGUUUUUUCAAUUAAAUUGUUAAACUGUGCACAGUGAUUUUUUUUUAGAACUUGAGACAUUUGUGAUGUUGGCUGUUUAAAUCUUUGUUACCUUCGCUGUGAAUUGAAAUUGUACAUAUUUAGUAAAUCAUGCAGACAAAACAAACUUUUUAGACAAUAUUUUUAUUGGAGAGUUUUCUUUUCCUGUAUCCAUGUUAAAAAAAAAAAAAAGACCUCCUUUCCCAAAAUAAAAAUGUCAAUACUAAAUUUAAAGAAGUAUAAAGGAAUGAUUGCUUCCUUUAGAGCAAAAUAUUUAAAUAAACAUGGAGAUAAUUGGCAACAUGUUCUUUUUGGGCUAGUAGGCUGUGUCCAAUUUUUUGGGUCUGAUGUUUCAGAGGGCCUCUGUUUCAGGGUUGAAGAUGAUAUAUUAAUCUCGGAAUUAAACAAAUGCUAUUAAAUAACAGAAAUAAAUCCCUCAGUCUUCAUUUGUAUCUGAAAUAUGGAAUUAGUCAGAGAAAUGGCACCGAGAUGAUAUGAUGCUGAAUAUGCCACAAGCUAAAACUUUCUCUAUUAAACGAGUCGCCUACUACCUAUAAUCUAGCAUGACAUGUUAAAAUGCUCCAAAAUACUGAAAAUAGAAAAUGAACACUACUGUUCCCAUUUGGUCUUGAGAUUAAUAUGACAAAGAUUCUAAUAAUUUUAGUCAAAGAAAAUGAUGAGUAAAAAAUACAUGAAGAUUAAAGUGAUGACAAAUGA
rnacentral:sRNA from 1 species